AAAUAAAUGAGGUUUUGCAUUUCAUCAUUUAAACCAUGUCUUACUCUUCCUGGUCUCAGACAUGCAGCCACAACCCUCAUCUUCUCAAAAAAAACACGCCUAAGGGACCUGGAAAGGGAGCAAUUAAGGAAUUUUCCAGAACAUAUCCAGUCAUGGAAAGCCAAGCCUAAAGACCCAGGCAGAAGAUCUGGUUUGGGGAAGAGGCCAUGCUCAGCCCAUGGAUGGAAACCAGGCUCUGACACACACUAGGCAAGCAUUGAGCACUGAGCUACACCACAACCCCAUUUUACCUUCGUUUUUAUGAUGCCUUAUCAGUCACCUAGGCUGGUUUGGAACUCACUACGUAGCCCAGGCUGGGAUCUUCUUUUUGCCUCGGCCCCCAGAGUAGCUGGGAUAACAGGAUGAGAUAGCCUGUCUUCAGGAGACAGAAGGAGACAGAGGGAAGAGAGAUGCCACUACCAGGCUGCAUGUAGAGAUGGCCGGACAGCCCUGACUGCUUUCAUUCCCUUCAAGUCUAUGACUCCUAACAACAGAGUCUGCUUCCUUCCUUAAACUGAAAGAAUGGAAUUCUGCUCCUUCGGGCUGAAGGAAUUUGAAGUCCAGCAGCUUCUUAGCCUUGCGUGUGAAAUUCAAGGCCUCCAUAAGACGACCUCUAGGCAUCUGUGGCCGGAUCUGACAGACUUUGAAGUCAUGGAGGGAAGGCCUCUAGGAGCUUUCUAAAAGGCAUGGAGUCCAGGCAUCCCAUCGGGAGAAGGAAAGGGUGUUUUGUCAAAGCAACAGAAAUUUGACUAAUGCACUUAGUUGUAGAGGCCCCAGCCUGGAAUCAAGGUAUCUCGAGGGCUCCACUUCCUCCAAAGACAUGGUGGACAAGCCAGAGCUAUCCAGAUGGUGUGGGCAUUCCCUGGUUUGUGGAUGGAUCUCCCGGCGUCUUCUCAUUGUCUCAUCUCUCCUUAUCCUCACCUCUUCCGUCUCUCAACAGAAGACCUUCGAUGGGCCCACUUGGUCAAUCAUCGAUUAUUUUAUUUAUGGUUUAUUCCAUUGAUUCUAUCUAUAAAGAUCUCCAUUCCAAAUAAGGGCUCUUUCCACAGAUUUUGAGGCUUAGUAUGUUUCCUUUGUGGGAGGAUCAGCAUGCAGCUCACCGGAGCGAGAUGACUGGCUGGUUUUCCCUAGAGAGAGGUUGGCUGAUUGUCUUCUACAUCCAGCAAGAUGUCUUUGGAAGAACUGUGUAGAACCAGCCCAGUGGGUCUGCCGUGCUAUUGUCUCUCGUAAUAGAUUCAUCCAAGAGGAUGUAAGGUAGUGGGAGGAGAAGAGGGGAAAGACUCUUUCCACUCAGUGUGCUCCAGCUUGCUUUGGAGAACACAUGCGUCAGUACUUUAAUCCUGGGUCUAUGGCUUUUUAAGGAGAAGCCAGCAUGGAGAUUGUGGGCAUUCCUCUUCAGCCUGUCCCUUGGUUCCCAUGCACAUCAGCCCACGAGCCUUUGUUUUCCCUCAGGAAAUGUGCAGGUGGUGGUGGACCUGCUGCCCAGACAUUUGGAAGGGAGCCACCAAGGUUGGUGUCAGCGGGUCUGGAGGGUAUUCUUUCUAGGGAUGUGCCGGGGGUAAGGGCACGGAACUCCGGUCCUCAGCUGAUGCUAGGAAAGAAGAAAACACCUCUUCCGGGUGGUCCUUAUGUCAACCCUGGAGGUCCUUGUUGGGCUGAGGGGAUAAGGACAGGAACGCCAUCCCCACUGUGCUUUCAUUUCCAGAACUCCAGAAGUUGUAGAUGUUGUGCUUUGUCGACCUGGACACCUUAGUCCUUCUGCAGGACCCACAAAGGGAAUCCCAUUGGGCCUUCAUCUCCCACGUCUGUUUGAUACACAGACUCCAUGAAGAAGCUCCUCCUCAAGACGGUCCACACUGACUGUGCCAAACUGCUCCUUCCUCGCUCCCCACUUCGGCCCUUGGUCCAUAAACUAAGGAAAUGCACUUUUCUACCCAACCUGGAGCGAAUCCGUAAGUGACAUAGAAAGUUCAGUUUCAACACCAGCGAAAAUUUAAUUUAUCUCGGAAAUGCUUUAUUCUUCCAAAAGCUCACUCUGGCAAAGUCUAAUGUAUAGAAAAGCAUGAAAUACUGGGGCUCCAGCCGCAGCAACUUCUUCAGCUACGCAUUAAGCCGCAGGGUCCGAAUCCAGCCUCGCUUCCGUCAACCACUCUCUUUAACUCAAAUGCCCGUCAAUGUCCCUGCUAAAUGGGAGUCUUGAGCACAUCGCAUCUUAUCAUAAUGUCACAAAACCCAUAGAAUUACAAAUCAGGUUUAAGGCAGAAAACAUGACAGGGAAAUAAAAGUACACACAAAGUACAUUAAGUAUCAGUCUUCAUUUAUUCUCUGCGUGCCAGCCUACCUCUCAGCUCAGCCUCACCCUGCACACAGCUCAGCUUGCGGUAGCCUAAGAUCCAUUUUAGAGUGGACUGAAAUAUAAAUGACAGUUCGCUCUGCACAUGAACAUAGACAACUGUAUAAAAUAUUUAAAUAAAGACAGGAAAGAACAGAGGAUUGCCACGAAGCCUUUGGCAGACUCAGCCUUGGGGGAAUUUAGCAGCUUGAGAUUCAUUACAAAUUUCGUCUUUAAUGUUAUUUUUAGUUCAAUAUUUUGUAGCACUCAGAAGUAAAUCUUGGUGUGCUGUCUUCUCUUCCCCUGGCUUCCUCUCCUUCGGUGUCUGAUCCUUCAGUUUUACUGAACCCUAAUACGGUUUCAAUAAAAUUGAUUUGUGACGUCGUAAUGCUGUUUG
rnacentral:sRNA from 1 species